rfam:Myotis lucifugus cont2.4280, whole genome shotgun sequence.
GAGACACCCUUCUGGGGCAAGACUUGCUUCAGUGGGGCUUUGGUGCUCACUGAGUCUGCCCCCUGAGCGUGUCCCU